UACGUAGGGGGCGAGCGUUGUCCGGAUUUAUUGGGCGUAAAGAGCUCGUAGGCGGCUUGGCAAGUCGGGUGUGAAACCUCCAGGCUCAACCUGGAGACGCCACUCGAUACUGCUAUGGCUAGAGUCCGGUAGGGGACCACGGAAUUCCUGGUGUAGCGGUGAAAUGCGCAGAUAUCAGGAGGACCACCGGUGGCGAAGGCGGUGGUCUGGGCCGGCACUGACGCUGAGGAGCGAAAGCAUGGGGAGCGAACAGG
rnacentral:rRNA from 1 species